rnacentral:lncRNA from 1 species
UCCACUUGAUUGAGCACUGUUUGCUCUGAGCCUGGGGCGGCAGGGUUGAGGCGGCGGGGCUCUAGUUGCCUGAAAAAGCCCGAGCCUGGCCUCUCGCUCCCCCAGAAAGCACUGCAGAGCUGCGGCCUGAUCAAUGCUGGGCGCUGAUACCCACAGGAGCCGGGCUCGCGAUUCCCGGCAGGCGGCCGCUGCGCCCCUGCGGAGAGGAGGCUCCGGCUGCUCGACUGCGACCCCUGGCGGCCGUCGGAGAAACUCCCCGCAGAGCUGCACAAGCGAAUGGGCCGCUGGACAGGAAGCGAAGGGAGGAUUUUAAUGGAAACUGGGGAAGAGUACAUGAGAGGCCGGAACUAAGCAGAUCCUGACCCAGAGCUCCAAGUUCCCAACAACGCUAAGAAUCUAUGACUGGGGAGAAGGGACACAACCUCUUGCAGGGAACCACCUGCAAUCCAAAUGUGAUAGCUGGAUCUCCAUCAGCCAUCUUGGACCAUAAGUCGACCUUGAGGAUGGAAACCACAUCCUAGGAUAUGGUAAAGCAGAAUGACAGAAAGAGCUCAGCCUAUAUCCAUACUUAUGUGGGAGAAUAAACUAGUGUAUGUUGAAGCCAUUAUUUGUCUGGGCUGCUUACCACCAGUGCAAUUUUUAACUGAUACAGCAACCAGCAAUCAAUACUACACCCCAGGAGUUAAAUUACAUUGGAUGAAGAAACUGAAGUCAGGAUGAUGACGUGACUUUUCCGAGACUGUGUCGUUAAUGGCCAAAUAACACACCUGACCCUUCAUGGAGCCGAAAACAAAAAUUAAGCUUCCUAGAAUCCUAGUAAAUAAGGUGGUCCAUGUUCAAGUCCAGCUUUCCCAGGAAUGUAAGCACCAAAACUGAGACUUCUCACCCAGCAACUCCAGAGCGGGGUCUCCCUGGGGUCACCAGGG